rnacentral:piRNA from 1 species
CUUUGGUGACAACAUGUGAAACU